rnacentral:rRNA from 1 species
CGGGUGAGUAACACGUGGAUAACCUACCUAUAAGACUGGGAUAACUUCGGGAAACCGGAGCUAAUACCGGAUAAUAUAUUGAACCGCAUGGCUCAAUAGUGAAAGACGGUUUUGCUGUCACUUAUAGAUGGAUCCGCGCCGCAUUAGCUAGUUGGUAAGGUAACGGCUUACCAAGGCAACGAUGCGUAGCCGACCUGAGAGGGUGAUCGGCCACACUGGAACUGAGACACGGUCCAGACUCCUACGGGAGGCAGCAGCC